UUAAAUAUAUAUAUUAAUGAAUAAAAUGUAACCCUAAUCUUAUCAAAACUCAUUGUCAAUCUACCAAAUCAGACCCUUUGCUUCUCAACUCUCUCUCGCUCACUCUCUUCUCGAAGCCGCGCGAACCUCCAUCGUUAGGGUUCCUCUUCAUCUUGGUCACGAAUAGAAAGAGGAAAAGUUCGAGGAGGAUGAGGAUGAGGGAUUCGAUGAUGAGCAUGGGAAGAAGCAGAGUAUAAGCAAAAGCAUUCCAGAAUAUGAUAUUGCUAUCGUUGGAGGUGGCAUGGUUGGCAUGGCUUUAGCUUGUUUCUUAGUUUCAGGGCCUGAUUGCUAUCCUUGGAGGGGCUAUGUUUGGUUAACUAUUUGUGUGGCAGCUUGAUGAGUUUCUUUUUUUCUUUUCUGUCAUGGGAAUUGAACCUGGUUAACUAUAUUGGAUUACAUCAUGGGCCGGGUAUUAAGUUGCAGUAGUGAAACACGUAUAAUUCUAUUGUGCUCUCAUGUCCAAAGACUAUGUUUGCUUCUGUUGGUGGCAGAUACUUUUGGGGGCUUGUUACUGAUGCAGUUUGGGUUUUUUGGUGGAUGAGAGUAUGAAUGAUGGAAGAAAGGAUGCAACAACCACCAAUGCCAACCCCAAAUCAAGAGGAGUUAGAAACUGAUGAGUCAGAGAAUGAGGAGGAUCUUGGUGCUUUUCCAUGAAAACUUUGUCAAGCUUUGUUUCUAUAUUUAAUGUAAUAGACUAUGUUUAAUGUAAUAGUAAUCUACUAGACUAGUUUAUUCUUGGUGACGUGUCGUUCUCACGUUAAUUCUUGGUGACGUGUCGUUCUCACGUUAAUUCUCAUAAAAAAAUUCCAAGUGUCAUUCUCA